rnacentral:ribozyme from 1 species
UUCAUCCAGACGUGUAAGAAGAGCUUAGUGACAGUGUAAACAAACAAACAAAACGAAAAAGAUGAAUCCUGCUUUUUUUAUAAAAAUUGAACAACUUUUAUUUUUUUUUUUGAAAGGAGAGAAAUUAAA